rnacentral:rRNA from 1 species
UACGUAGGCAGCAAGCGUUGUUCGGAUUCAUUGGGCGUAAAGGGUGCGUAGGUGGCGAGGUAAGUUGGAUGUGAAAAUCCCGGGGCUCAACCCCGGAACUGCAUUCAAUACUGCCUUGCUGGAGUACUGGAGAGGAGAUUGGAAUUUACGGUGUAGCAGUGAAAUGCGUAGAUAUCGUAAGGAAGACCAGUGGCGAAGGCGGAUCUCUGGACAGUUACUGACGCUGAGGCUCGAAAGCGUGGGGAGCAAACAGG